CAACCACCACUACAAAUAGCAAACAGCAUACGGGACAAUUUCAUCACCUUUCAAAUUCUCUGGUGUUGCCUUUUCGUAGUUUAAAUCCUCUUUCUUCCUGAACUCCUUGCAAUACUGAUCUGUGAAUUUAUAGUUCUUUUCAAGACUAUUAUAUAAGUGGGAUUAUACAGACUUUUUGAGACUAACUUCACUUAGCAUAAUGCAUUUGAGAUCCAUCCACAUUUUAUGUAUCAAUGGUUUGUUCCUUAUUAUUACUAAGUAGUAUUCUGUUGUAUAGAUAUGCCAUGGUUUGCAUACCUAUUUCAACAGUUGCAUUCCAGCAGCAAAAUAGGAAAGUCCUAGUUGAUCUGUAUUUUUGCCAUCAUUUGAUAUUGUCAUUUUAUGCAGAUCAGCCAUUCUAAUAGGUGUGUAAUGGUAUCUCAUGGGUUUGAUAUGCAUUUCCCUAGUGAUUAAUGAUAUUGAACAUCUUUUCAUGUGUUCAUUUGACAUUCAUACAUCUUAUGCACAUUAGGAUAUGUGUUAUGCUCAUUGUCAUUAUCAUACCAUAUUCCAGGUGGUUAUUAUGCCUUUUUAUAUCAGCAUUGUUGCUCACUUACCACAGCAUAUUCCAAGGUCAAAGCACUGAGCCAGGGAAUUUAUGUACAUAAUCUCAUUUUAUCAUUACAAAAUCCUUGUGAAGUUAGUAGUGUUUUCUGUUUUUAUGGCAGAGAAAUAAAGACCCCAUGUUCAAAACACACUGAGUGCCUACCAUGUGCAAUGAGCCAGUUGUACACAUCUGCUAGUCCUGUGACUAACGUGAAGACAGCAUGUAUGAUCCCUAAAUGGGCCUGUGGGCAUAUUUUGUCAUUCAUUUUUGAUCAGGAGAAAGAAGACAGCCAUCACUUGAAAGUGCAUCCUCUGAAGACCUGUUGUGUGUCUGCUGUGUACCAAGCCCAGGAAUACUGACUAAAGUAAGACAGUUUGUGGUCCUUCAGAACUCACUCUGGAGCAAAAAAAGGGUAGGCAAUGAUAGAUAAACCUCUUGCUUAUUUAAUAAAAAACUGACAAAGGAAAACGUUUGGAAGAUA
rnacentral:lncRNA from 13 species